UUGUUGUUGUUGUUGUUGUUGUUGUUGUUGUUGUUGUUGCUAUUUCUUGGGCCGCUCCCGCGGCAUAUGGAGGUUCCCAGGCUAGGGGUCUAAUCGGAGCUGUAGCCACCGGCCUACGCCAGAGCCACAGCAACGCGGGAUCCGAGCCGCGUCUGCAACCUACACCACAGCUCACGGCAACGCCGGAUCGUUAACCCACUGAGCAAGGGCAGGGAUCGAACCCGCAACCUCAUGGUUCCUAGUCGGAUUCGUUAACCACUGCGCCACGACGGGAACUACUAAUCUUCUUUCUUAACCAUUCCCAUAGCACCCUUUGUGCCCCAGUGGAACAGAGCUGCUUAUAAAUCCUGCUAAGCUCACUCGUGCAUCUAAAGCUUUUCAUGGCUGUUCUUCUUGUAGGACAGAUAAUCCUAACAGAUGGUUCUCCUACCAAACACUGGCCUUCUGCCUCUCUAGCUGCCCAAUUUCUCCUCAUUCUGCAUGCUUACCUUAAAGACCACCCACUAUUUAAAAACUUGUUUCCUAACCAUGGUCUUAAAAUAGCUGGUACUUAUCCAACACCAAUAAAAACAAUGGAAAAAUCUGGACAGUGAUCAACUCCAGGUAGCUUUGGGAAACAGUUAUCAUAGAUCAAGUCUGGUAAAGAAUAAACGUGGCAAUGAUACGAACAAGGUUUUGGAGAGCAGGGUUUCAAAUGAUUGCAUUCGAGAGCAUCAGAAUAGUGCUUAAUACCUGCUAGACACUUGACAGCUAUUUGUUAAGGGAACAAUUAACAAAGAAAUAAAAGUGCUUCCUUUGAAAAUCCUGUCUAGAAAAAUACAGACAUUAAGCAGGGACAACUCUAUGAUCAGCAACUUGAAGGACAACCACCAUCUUUCUAUCUCCAAUAACUUGUAACAUCAGCAUGUGGAAGUUCGUUGAUUGACAGAGGAAUACUAAGGUGUCCCCAUACAGUUCAGAUGGCACCCUGUGCCAGGUGCUACAUCCAGGGAAUGGUAGUGCUUUUGACCACAUGAGGUAUUUUUCUGCUUUUUUUUAAGAUUUGGAUGAGUCCCAAGUUGGGCUACUUGAGGAACUGUUAGGAUAAUCCUUUAACGAAUGGCAAAGAAGAAUCUUGUUCACACAAAAUUACAGUGUCAUGACAUUUAUCCAACAAACAGAAGAAAACAUCUGGUUCCAAUGAAGUCAUUCCAUCUCACUCUCUUUGGACUUGUGAGGAAUGAAGUUGGUAAAAGCGAGACCUCUUGGCUGGGUGUAACAAUAUGCAAAAUAACCAGCACUUCUUGGCCAGGCAUUGCUUUUCCGACUUCUGUAUUAUUAGCAGGUAGCUUUAAAAAAUAAUAUCUUAUUGGUAUGCUGAGCACUGGCUCAGUUCUGCAGUUCUUGUUUUUUGUCAUUUGUUUCUAGUACCAGGAAUCAACUGCUAAGUUCCCAGUUUUAAAGAAGGUAACUUUUUUUGUUGUGAGCCACACGGGAAGUCGAAGAAGGUAACUUUUGUACGGAGACUAAUCACCAUGCGAUGACUAGUACUCAUCUAUGAAACGCAAUCCGUGUGUUGUAAAAAAGUAAAGGGCCAUUUUUAUAACAAGCCGACUUGUUAUGAUGUGAUUAUACAGCAAAUGCAACACACUAACAUAGAAUUCUUUUUUAUUUAGCAGCAGCUUGGGUCACUGCAGAGGUGCAGACUCAACUUGAGGCCUGGCACACUGGGUUAUCGAGUCUGGCAUUUCUGCAGCUCCAGCUUUGUUUCAAUCCCUGGGCCAGAUAUAGCCAUUAAAAAAAGAAAAAGAGUUCCUGUCGUGGUUCAGCGGUUAACGAAUCCGACUAGGAACCAUGAGGUUGCGGGUUCAUUCCCUGGCCUUGCUCAGUGGGUUAAGAAUCCAGCACUGCCAUGAGCUGUGGUGUAGGUUGCAGUCGCAGCUCGGAUCCCAUGCUGCUGUGGUUCUGGCGAAGGCUGGUGGCUACAGCUCCGAUUGGACCCCUAGACUGGGAACAUCUAUAUGCUGCGGAAGCGGCCUUAGAACAGGCAAAAAAAGAAAAGGAGUUUCCCUUGUGGCUCAGCAGGCUAAGGACCCAAUGUUGUCUCUGUGAGGAUGUGAGUUCCAUCCCUAGACUCACUCAGUGGGUUAUGGAUCAGGUUAUGGACCUAAGCUGUAGCAUAGGUCACAGAUGUGCUCAGAUCCAGUAUUUCUGUGGCUGUGGUGUGGGCCAGAAGCUUCAGCUCUGAUUUGAACCCUAGCCUGGGAACAUCCUUAUGCUUCAGGUGUGGCCUUCAAAGAAACAAACAAACAAAAAAACCAUUUUUCUUAUUUACAGGAUUUUAAGCUCCAUAGCUAAAUGCAUUCAUUUCUUUUCAAUAACACUGUCUCUGAUAUUAAAUUAUGUAAAUUGAUUUCUUAAACAAUUCUGGAUGCUAAACUAUUAAGAAUUUAAUUAACUAAAAAAGUCCAGAAGCAAUUUACACAAGGUUCUUUUCAUUGCUCUUUCAUUCUCAUAAUGUCCUCACUCUUACUUUCUCUAUGGUAAGAUCACUAAAAGUAAUUCCCUAUCAGCAGUCUUACCUAGGUUACUAUCUUGAGCAGGAGUUUUAGGUCCCAUUUCUCGUUUAUACUCCAAAAUCAUGUGGUGAUUCCUAUGUACAAAAGAAUAUGGUAAAUAGCAUUACUAUUUAAUAUUCAUGUAAAAACCAGUUACCAUAUAUAUUAAAUUCUUUGAUGUCUGACAAUACCAGAGCUAAUGUGAAAACUUCAGCUGUCCCAUAUACUUCAAAUUUGUAUGUUUUACAAGUAUUUUACUUAGCAUCUAAUUACAGAGUAAAAUAAAGCACGGUGAAGUAGUCAUUGAAUUGAGGGCAGGAAAGUGCAAUAAAUUAACUAGGGAAAGCUUGGUACAUGGAAAGUAUCUGCAGCUGAGAAAUCCUAGCUCUGUAACUAACUGUUAUUUUUUCCUGGAAAAGUUGCAUCUCUUCAGCUCAACGUCUUCUUCUAUGACACUGGAGUCUCACUGCCUCGAUUCACAAGGGCAUUGGGAGGAUCUGAGGAGAUAAUAGAUCCCCAAAAACGUCAUAGAGAGACCGAAAGAAUAGAAUCAUUCCUUCUUGAACUUUAUCACUAGAGGUAUAUUGGAACCCCAAAGAAAACCCAANUUUCUAAUUAUGGUGAGUAGCUGUUCUCUCUUUGUGGUUUGCCAUUUAGGGAUCUCAGCUAUGAGAUCAUUUGUAAGUGAAUUUAUCUAUAAAUAUAUGGCCUCAUUAGAGAACAUCCUGGUCCCCCAUUAUUGUAGCUAAUCGCACCAAGAGCAGAAACCUAGCAGAAGUCAGGACCUGGCUUGGACCACUACUGUUUCCUUCUCUAUCUGCUCAAACUCUGAACCAGCAGGUCUGUAUUAGAAGGAUGCUUCAGCUCCAUGGUCAUCUCCAAUUUACAUGGAAGACAACUCUACUUGUAGGCUGGGCACUGAUGAGUCAUGGCCAGGGCUUCCCUCUGCUAAUGUCCACUAACCUACUCGAGAUUCAGUGAUUUCUGGUGAAUGGCAUCUUUAGGAAUGAGAAUCUGAAAGUAUGUUGAAGGUUGACACCUACGGAAAGCAUCUGGAAGAUUUUGAGGACAGUGGAAAACAAGACUGGAGGGGCCGAGCUUAACUAUGGACUCUCAGGCCAGCUGGCACCUACUAGUCUGGGAAGGAUGGCAUGGGGCCUUCCACAACCUAAGAUGCUCCACAGGAUAGAAUGCAGCCUUAAGGUUCAUGUCUGGUACUAAAGGAGAAAGCAAAGUCUGAUCUUUCCCUGCAGCAUCACUGGAAUCUCUCUGACAGCCUAAAUGGUUCCCACUAACAUCUGCUAGGAGAAGAGACAAUCAAAAGCCUCCAAGAAUAGCUCCUUGUGAAGAUCUGGGCUACGAUGUGCACUCCACAUAAAGCUUGGGCAGCAGGGUGCGGGGUGUGCAUGGUUAAAGGUAGGAGGCCGAGCUGCCAGACUUGGUGCUAAUGCUGUGGAGCAGUGGCUGAGCCAUAAGCCUAUGUGAGAGGAAUGAAAAUGGUGUCACUAUCCAGGCUAAGGGUGAGUCACCAUGAAGAUAGAGGAACCAGGAUAAACAAGGGCAUCCUGGGAGAAGAGAUCCAUCAUGACCUUACUGCAGGACAACUUUCUUUUUCCUUUUCCAUUAAAAUGAUUUUAAUUAAGGUCUUUACAGGAGUUUCCAUCGUGGCACGGUGGUUAACAAAUCCGACUAGGAACCAUGAGGCUGCAGGUUUGAUCCCUGGCCUUGCUCAGUGGGUGAAGGAUCCAGAAGGAUCCGGCAUUGCCGUGAGCUGUGGUGUAGUUCGCAGAUGCGGCUCGGAUCCCACAUUGCUGUGGCUCUGGCAAAGGCUGGUGGCUACAGCUCCGAUUAGACCCCUAGCCUGGGAACCUCCAUAUGCCGCAGGAGCAGCCCUAGAAAAGGCAAGAAGACAAAAAAAGGUCUUUACAGAACAUCCAGACUCCAGAGUUUCAGCUGCCAAGGAGACCCUGUGUAGGCCAGUUUUCAUAGCAAUGCUGCAGCAAUGGAAUCAAUGGAAACAAUGGAAUGAUUGGAACAUCACUUUUUCCCUCCUAAUGACUGUGGAUGAGGACUGUCUCCUUCAUCUCAGGGAAUCACUUAGGUUCUUGGAAAAGUCAAGUGGGAGAGUAGAGAAGGAAAUCCCCAAGAAAACCAAAAAAUAGGAUUUUCUGUUUAAACUGAACACUUCAGACCCAGAUAGCUAGUUCAAAAAAUCAGAGAUGGGACACACUUUGUCCUCCACACAUAGGGGUUACACUUGGAAUGAAACAGACAAUGUUAGCAUCCUAAGGAUCAGCACUGGAAAUAAGAAUCCUGUGCCCAGGCCACAUCAAACUAGUCUGGCCUUUGGCCUGGUGUCCAGCUGAUGAUGGGGAGUACUUCCCAGGUAUUCCCAAGCCACCUGCAUCAAACUAUGAAUGCUCGCUCACCUGUCACAUAACAAGGAACUGGCAAGUGAUUUGUCACUUCAGUUUAGGGAUAUAAAUGGUAAUUUAAUGCAAACACUUACAUAUGAUGACCCUUGAUAACAGCAUAGUCUUCUGCAUUCCGUCCAUAGCGAUCUUGAGGAGAGAUAUCAACGCCUUGCUCAAGAAGCAGCCUGACUACACUUGAUGAUGCAAAAUUUACAGCAAGUAUGAGGGCUGUUCUAAAAUACAGAGAGAGAGCUUCAAGCUUCAGAACUCUAGUUAACUGAAUUAAGCAGCUAUUUUGACAUGUUUUAUCAAGUUAAUAUCUUGCCCACCCAUGUAGAAUUGACCAUUUACAUGCUCAAGGGUUCAUCUUUGUAAAUUACAUCCAAAGCUAGAAUGAAGGGCCAAAAAAGAAGUCUUCUGCCCUGCUGGAAUAGCAUGUGAGAGAAGUGGCUACUUUAAAGUCACUGAUGGACAAUAAAUUAUGCUGAGGUCACUUAUCUGAAGUGAGUGAGUAUUUAAAGGAAGAAUUUCCCAUUUCUUCCCAUUUCUUCCUUCCAUUUCAUACCGUUUGCUUCUGAAUCAGCUAGAGGUCAGGCUAAGAAAAAGCUAUUUGUAGGCUUAAAACAAUAGUAAUAUUAAUAGUGAUAGUAAUAGUAAUAGUCAUAGUCAUAGUCAUAGUAAUAGUAGUAGUCAUAGUAAUAGUAAUAGUAAUAAUAAUAUUAAUAGUAGUAGUCAUAGUAUUAGUAGUAGUCAUAGUAAUAGUCAUAGUAGUAGUCAUAGUAAUAGUCAUAAUAAUAGUAAUAGUAGUAGUCAUAGUAAUAGUAAUAGUAAUAGUAGCAGUAAUAUCAUAGUAAUAGUAAUAGUAGCAGUCAUAGUAAUAGUAAUAGUAGCAGUCAUAGUAAUAGUAAUAGUAGCAGUCAUAGUAAUAGUAAUAAUAGUAGUCAUAGUAAUAGUAAUAAUAAUAGUAUAGUAGUAGUCAUAGUAAUAGUAAUAGCAGUAGUCAUAGUAAUAGUAAUAGCAGUAGUCAUAGUAAUAGUAAUAGUAGUAGUCAUAGUAAUAGUCAUAGUAAUAAUAAUAAUAAUGCCAAUGAAAGCAGUCGUGGUUAUCGUUAAUGAUGCUACUAAGAAUGUGCUGGGCCCUAAAAACAGGAUAUAGAAUCUUUCUUAUAAACAUCCAUGCCUGAAGGAUAUAUUACUAUCCUCCCUUUGCUUAUCAGGAAACAUGUUCCUUGACAGUAAGUAUGGUUCCCAAGGUCAUACAUCUAACAAGUAGGCAUGUUAGGACUUAAACCCAGUCUUAAACUAAAGCCCAUCUCUUCCCCCUUCAUCACCCACCUACGACUUGUUUUCAUUAAGGGAAACGUUUAUUCGAUCAAAGCUAUCUUUCCUCCUUUUAACCUUAUCAAUUAAAAUUUAAAAAAUAAAAACACCAAAUUAUAUUAGAAAUAAAAAAGGAUAAAAGUGAUGAGUCCAUAAUAUCUGGUAGUAGGGAUUAACAGGCAGUUAGUAUAACGUAAUAUCACCACUAUUCUUCAAAGAAAGCAACGUAAAGCAAAGAUUCAUUCCAAUGACAAAUUCAGGAGUUCCCUUGUGUCUUGGCUGCUUAAGAAUCGGGCACUGUCACUGCUAUGGCUCCUGGUUGUAGCUGUGGUGAGGAUUUGAUGCCUGGAUCUGCAUGUCCACAUGCCACAGGUAUGGCGAAAAAAAUUUAAAAAGUCAAAACCAACUCCUUUAUGUUUCAUAUGCAUCUUUUAAGGAAAAAAUAUAUACAAAGUAGAGGUUAAGAUAUACCAUAAAGGCAUUCAGAAAUUUAAUACUGUGUAAAUUAAAAAUUGAGUCCAAACUUUUUAAGUUGACUAAUAUGAAAUCCCUCAGCUCUUUUAAGAUCAUGAGACCCCAAAAAAUCAGGUUGAAUGUGACCUUAGUGGAUAUGAUACAGAAAAACAAAUAUCCUGUGAUCUAGUGAUUUUCAUGCUACCCAGUCAGAAUAAUUGCUUUGUUUCCCUAAUGACGACGUGUUGAGGAUAAGUUAUACCUAUUAAUUUCAUCUCUUACCACUCUAGAACAGCACCAUGCUUUUUUCCUUCAGAAUGAACUACUAUACCUUUUCAUCUUAUCAACCGCAUGUAUAUUUGCUUGAUUCCUUAAUAAAAAUCCCACCAUUUGCUGUUCGUUUUCACUGACAGCAAGUAAAAGUGGUGUAAGGUCAUCCUGUAAAACAGCAAAAACAAUUUAUAGUGUACAAAAUUUAUAGUGUACAAUUUAUAGUGUACUUUUAUAAAUGGAAUUUAAAACAUAGAAAAGAGUCUCUGAACUUAAGUGGAUACUACAGAAAGUCCAUAAAAAGGACCCCCUUCCUCCUCAGUGCUCCUUCUCUUUAAAAUUCUCCUCCUCUACCCCCUUGAAAGAUUAACUGCAAAGUCAGUCUCCAAAACUCACUUCCAAUAGUUCUGAGCAUUUUGCUUCUCUCACAGUAUUUUUCAGGUAGACCAUGAGUGUAGUUAUUUUCUUGCUCUACCAGGACUCUAAACAAUACUCCAAGAUAAUAACACAACAUAGCCCUUAAAUCAAUUGCAUUUUUAAGGAACAAUGCUGAGAAUGAUCUAAUGCUGUCUGCAGUAUGCCUAACCUAACCAAUGACUGCCAUGAUUAACCUAAGGUUGCUAGAUAUUCCAAAUGGAAUUGAUUCUUUACAUGUACAAGGAAAGAAAGAGAGUUCUUCAAAGCAGUUGAUGGAGCUCCUGCUGUGGCCCAGAGGGUUAAGGAUCGGGUGCUUUCUCUGAGACUGGGAGGGUUCCAUCCCCAGGCUAGCGCAGUGAGUUAGGAAUCCAGCAUUGCUGCAGCUAUGACCUAGGUUAUGGCUGCAGCUCAGAUUCCAUCCCUGGCCCAGGAGCUUCCAUAUGCCCCCAAACAAACAAACAAGCAAGCAAACAAAAAAACAAAUAACAAUGUAUAAGUUCUAACUUCCCAUUCUUGAGAGAUAAUUGUAAAAUAAAAACUCAACUAUAAAUUAAUGUAGACAGGCAUUACAAUCUUCAAAUUUCUAUGAGAAGAAACUGUCCAAGAGGAAUUGUCAACUCCUAAAUGCUUCAGGAGGCAAAGUAGGUGACUCAAGUAUGUGAAGACCUCAGUGGAGCAGAGCACACAGGGAACUCAGGCCCCACCUGGAAGGGCUGGCCUCUGACUGCAAACCAAACAGUCCCAAGGGCUCAAGGGGGACCAGACUGAUGCUUUAAGAGCGGCCAGAAAUGCAGAUUUCUGCAUCCAUCUCCUAAAUGUUACAUGAUGGCCCAAUGAAUGGGUGGAGGCUGAGUCUUCCCA
rnacentral:lncRNA from 1 species